UCCAGACUCCUACGGGAGGCAGCAGUGGGGAAUAUUGCACAAUGGGGGGAACCCUGAUGCAGCGACGCCGCGUGGGUGAAGGAGCGUUUCGGCGCGUAAAGCCCUCUCGGCAGGGAAGAAGGAGGACGGUACCUGACUAAGAAGCCCCGGCUAACUACGUGCCAGCAGCCGCGGUAAUACGUAGGGGGCAAGCGUUAUCCGGAUUUACUGGGUGUAAAGGGGGCGCAGACGGCAGCGCAAGCCAGGAGCGAAAGCCCGGGGCCCAACCCCGGGACUGCUCUUGGAACUGCGCGGCUGGAGUGCAGGAGGGGCAGGCGGAAUUCCUGGUGUAGCGGUGAAAUGCGUAGAUAUCAGGAGGAACACCGGUGGCGAAGGCGGCCUGCUGGACUGCGACUGACGUUGAGGCCCGAAAGCGUGGGGAGCAAACAGGAUUAGAUACCCGAGUA
rnacentral:rRNA from 1 species